rnacentral:sRNA from 1 species
CUUUAAGUGAGUUAUUUAUGUCCCUCUUAAAGUCCUCUAUCAUUAUUAUGAGAGGUGAUUUUAAGUUCGAAUCUUGCUUUUCUGGUAUGUUGUGAUAUCCAGGACUUUCUGUGGUGGGGGAACUAGGUUCUCAUGAUGACAAGUAGCCUUGGUUUGUGUUGCUUAGGUUCUUGCGCCUGCCUCUUGCCAUCGGGUCAUCUCUGGUGUUAGCUGGUCUUGCUGUCUCUAAUUGGAGCUUGUUCUUCUGUAGGCCUGUGAGCCUGUGAUCUUAGGUGUGUCAGCACUCCUGGGAGAUCAGCUCUCUCAAGACUGAAUUUGUGUAUAGAGGGCUGUGGGACAGCCUUGGCUCCUGAGCACAGACUGAGACUGGAAGGAUUCUGUCCUGGGCUACUCCACAGUUCCUGUGCCCUCUGUGCUCCUGGCAGGUCCCCCUCUAGACAGCUUUUGGAGCAAUAGUAGUAGUAUCACCAGUGGGCUUAGGAGUGACAGCACUCCUGGGAGACCAGCUCUCUCCAGGUGGAAUUUGGGUAUGGAGGACUGUGGGAUAUCCUUAGCUCCUGGGCACAUAUGGAGACCAGAAUCCAGAUAUAUUUCUUUAUUAAUGUAAUUAUUAAGAAUAUAUACAGUCCAAGCCUUAUUUAUAAUAUGUAGCUAUAAGCACACUUCUGUAGUCAAGCAUUUUCAUAGUAAAAAAAAAAUUAAUUACAAAUAGCAAAUUUUUUAUAUACCUUAGCUUCUAGAUAGAACUUUAUUUUUGAACUAAUUAUUACCAUAGUGGUUAUCAAUGCCUUUUGAUUAUUCUAAGAUAAUAAAUGGUAUGAAUCCUCUGUAUCUUGUAGAAAGCUCUUGUUAUAUGUAUACAGUCUUCCAAUGCCCAGUUCCUGCCAUUUGAUCUGAUAGAAUCCACUGAAACAAGCUCUCAAGCAAAAAUUGUCCUGUUUCAGUGUAAUAGGAGAGCAUCAGAGAUGUCCACUUUUGCCUCCAUAAGAUAGAUAUUGAAGGCUGUGUGGUUUAGAAAAUAUCUAUAGAAAUUAGACACUCAAGAGCCACAGAAAUAUACAAGAAAUCAAGAGCACAGAGUAUUUCCUUCCAUCAGUCCUCAGAACCCUGAAACGAUUCUAACUCGAUCAAGCACAGAGCACAGAGGAAGGCCCACCUUGGCAGAUGGCCACAGAGGAUGUCAACAAUUUCUUGGAGGCAAGCAAUUAAAUAUUUGUGGAAUGAGAUUUCUGUCUUUUAACUAUAUAAAAUCAAAUAGGGUUUGAGUGAAUAUUGGGUUCUUGUUAACAUGUCUAUUUCUUGUCUCUUCACUUCCUUCUUUUCUUCAGCAUUGCUGUGUGUCAGAAGUUACGUUAGAGUGCUUAUCCCCUACCUAUAGGAUUGCACAGCCUAAAGAAGCACUGACUCCAUAGAUAGGAAAUGAGGUUUGAAAUAACAUAUCAACUACCCACAUGUGAAAAUGAGUCCGUUGAAUUUAUCUUGGACACAUAUAAAUGAAAAUACUAAAUAUAUUUUCAGGUUUAAUUAUUGUCUAUUCGUUUUAGAGUUAUUUGUACUUUUUAUUAAUUUAAAUAUCUUGAGCGCGUGUUCUCCUCUCAAGAGUCUUGGAAAGCCAUCACAUUAUAACCCUCCCAGCAUUGGGUUUUCUCAGUCCAUAGCAUCCAGGGGAUUCACUGAGCUUGGAGGUUCUGUUCUGGCAGAUCCUGUUCUUUUCAGACGAGUAAAGGCUGCACAGAAGACUGCCAGCUUAAAAAUUGAAGUUAAUUACAUUGUCAUUAAGGGAAAGUUUAUAUAGAUAGAAACUGAUGAUUCUUUUUUUUUAAAGGUCAUAUAAGCAGUCUUCUACCCUUUUCACAUUCAUAAAAAAUAAAAACCCAAGUAGAUGGGGAAGAAGGUGAAAUUUUAAAAAAAUGACUUCUUAGGGUAAUGAGGGCUCUGCGCUUAAGAGCACUGACUGCUCUUCCAAGGUCCUGAAUUUAAUUCCGAUC